AUUGAACGCUGGCGGCAGGCUUAACACAUGCAAGUCGAGCGGAGAUGAGGUGCUUGCACCUUAUCUUAGCGGCGGACGGGUGAGUAAUGCUUAGGAAUCUGCCUAUUAGUGGGGGACAACAUUCCGAAAGGGAUGCUAAUACCGCAUACGUCCUACGGGAGAAAGCAGGGGAUCUUCGGACCUUGCGCUAAUAGAUGAGCCUAAGUCGGAUUAGCUAGUUGGUGGGGUAAAGGCCUACCAAGGCGACGAUCUGUAGCGGGUCUGAGAGGAUGAUCCGCCCCACUGGGACUGAGACACGGCCCAGACUCCUACGGGGGGCAGGAGUGGGGAAUAUUGGACAAUGGGGGGAACCCUGAUCCAGCCAUGCCGCGUGUGUGAAGAAGGCCUUAUGGUUGUAAAGCACUUUAAGCGAGGAGGAGGCUACUGAGACUAAUACUCUUGGAUAGUGGACGUUACUCGCAGAAUAAGCACCGGCUAACUCUGUGCCAGCCGCCGCCGUAA
rnacentral:rRNA from 1 species